AUGUGCAGGAAGUGCAGACUUCAGGAGCUGGUAAGUCCAUGGGGGCCACUGGGAAGGGCAGGCGGGAGGGGCUCAGGGUUGGCCGGGCUGGUCCUGAUGCCCGUGCACUGGACCACAAGGCCAGCUGGCCUCCAGGACCGCCCACAAAAAAGGUCAAGCUUCGAGGAUAAGCUGGAGUUGUCUGGGCUGCUGCCUAAGAGGUCAAGCUAUAGGCACAUUCAGGAUUCAAGACUAUCAGCCCACUUGUGUCACACGGGGUCAUUUGGACUUUGGGUUCUAGUUGGCAUUGGCUCCGUGGUUGCUAAUCCAGUGAUGGGCAAGGCUUUGGCUCUUCAGCCCUGGGUGCCUCUGCGGCCGGGGGCAAGGCCUUGCCAGGCAGGAAGGCGCUGUCUCCGGCCAGGCCCUUACCGAGACCACCCGGCUGCACAACAGGUGACGACCUGCGUGAGUCCUGGAAUUCCUGGUGCCCGGGCUCCACCUUCCUCACACUCCGGGAUUGCCACCUUCAAAAUCCAGAGCAACAGGGAGCUUCCGAGCUCCUGUGUAGGCCCUGAGGGUGGGCCUGCCCUGUGGGCUUCUGCACUCAUCCCCACUGGGGUCCACGGGUGGGGGAGGGGCAGGGGACCUCUGAGAGUUGGGGGAGGCACGAGCUUCUCAGCCAGCAGGUCCCCUUCCUCUCCCUCGUCCCCUCCCUGUGCCCGUGCUGAGCACACGGCAGGCUCUCUGCCUGGAGCUCACCCAUUCCCCACCCAGUCUCCCUUUCUCAUGACGCACCCCCUCUCCCCAGCAGCCUCGCUCAGGAACCCAGGCUGCGUGCACAGGGAAAGCCCGGACCCCUGCCGUGCCCGCGGUCGCCAGGCCUUUCUUGCUGCCGGUCUUCGGUGUGGCUCCAGGGCUCAGGAGGCAUCAGCUGCCCUGGCUCCCCCAGGGCCUCUGCUAUUCAAACCUCCUCCCGGGCGAUCGCGGUGGGCCCCUCUGGAGGGCAGCUCUGAGAGCGGCUUCUGCGCCACAGCUGCCCCCGGCUCUCUGUGCCCCUUCUUGCCCGUCUGUGGGCACGGAUCCCCGGCGCCUGCUCCCCCUCAGUGCCGGCGGAGAGGGAACUAA
rnacentral:lncRNA from 1 species